rnacentral:misc_RNA from 1 species
AAAUCUUUAAAAUUAUUUUUAAAAAACUUAAUUUUAAUGCGGGAAAAUUAAUAUCUGAUUAGCAUGUGUCGGUGGUGUGUGCAUUCUGCAUACUUGGUCUUUGUUUAGAUUUUUUUGGUUUUCUUGAUGACAGCAGAAUAGUUCUUCUGCUACUUGGCACUUGCAUGGGGAGGGUUUACGUGGGGUCCAUUAGAAACCCACCAAUCACGGGAUGGUGGUCACUUUUGCCUCUACUCUUGGCCAUCUUGAUCGUGCCAUUUGGUGAUCUACUGACCGUUCAUGAGGUCGUGGGAACCUCUCUCCCAUGGCAAUAUAGUAAAUGUAUAUAAAUUAUACCACCAACUAUAGCAACAUCCAUGAACGUGAAUUAGUUGGGAAGAAUUAUGGUUUAAAUUUUAAUUAUUUUCAUUAUAUACUAUUCCUUAAUUAGCAUUGGAGGGUAUUUUUGUCAUUUGGGUGAAAGGAGACAAGCCUUUCUCCCUGGAUUAAUUGGGGAAAAAAAAGUUUCAAGGGGUAAAUUUGUCAGUCGGAGUUGCUACUAUAGUGGCAUCAGCAGCAGCAGCACCGCCACUUCUCAGGCACGUGCUGCUUUUGUAGUUAAGCCCAUAGGUGGGACCGCCUACCCUAGUUGCCGACACUUCAAAAUUGUACUUUUAAUAGUACAUUAAAAAAAAUUAAAUUAAAUUA